rnacentral:tRNA from 1 species
GAAGGUAUAGCUCAGUGGUAGAGCACAUGCUUAGCAUACACAAGGUCCUGGGAUCAAUCCCCAGUCUCUCCU